UACAGAGACUGCGAGCGUUAUUCGGAUUCACUGGGCGUAAAGGGUGCGCAGGCGGCCAAGUGUGUUAGGCGUGAAAGCCCGAGGCUUAACCUCGGAAUUGCACCUAAAACUACUUGGCUAGAGUACUGGAGAGGGAAACGGAAUUCACGGUGUAGCAGUGAAAUGCGUAGAUAUCGUGAGGAACACCAGAGGCGAAGGCGGUUUCCUGGACAGUUACUGACGCUCAGGCACGAAAGCGUGGGGAGCAAACGGG
rnacentral:rRNA from 1 species